GGACAAAUAGCUUAGUGAGUAAAGCACUUGCCCCUUAAGCAAGAGCUCCUGAGUUCCAUCCCCAGAAUCUUCA
rnacentral:tRNA from 1 species